rnacentral:snRNA from 1 species
GUAUGUGAGGGAAAUGUGGAUUUAGUUGAUCUGGCUGGCUAGGCGGGUGUCCUCUUCCUCCCUCACCACUCCAUGUGUUAUGAGCUUGUUCUAGGAAGAUGAUCUUCCCAAUAGAGGUAGACCUCUUCCUCAAGGGUAGACAAGUGGCUGCACUCCCCUGCAAGAACCCCCAAGCAAGCUCUCAAGGUCAAUUUGUAAAAGAACAUAGGGUAGUAAUCAGGUUUCCAAAACUUCAGACACAUUCAAAUAAGAUGCUUCAUGUGGUAGUCUGUCUUUCCUA